ACCUGAAACAGGCAAGAAUACCCGCUGAACUU
rnacentral:rRNA from 1 species